GGUGGCUCAGUGGUAGAGUACUUGCCUCACAUGCAUGAGGUCCUGGGUUCGGUUCCUCAGCACCA
rnacentral:tRNA from 1 species